rnacentral:rRNA from 1 species
UAACCGGCGAUUUCCGAAUGGGGAAACCCAGUGUGAUUCGUCACACUAUCAUUAACUGAAUCCAUAGGUUAAUGAGGCGAACCGGGGGAACUGAAACAUCUAAGUACCCCGAGGAAAAGAAAUCAACCGAGAUUCCCCCAGUAGCGGCGAGCGAACGGGGAGCAGCCCAGAGCCUGAAUCAGUGUGUGUGUUAGUGGAAGCGUCUGGAAAGGCGCGCGAUACAGGGUGACAGCCCCGUACACAAAAAUGCACAUAUUGUGAGCUCGAUGAGUAGGGCGGGACACGUGGUAUCCUGUCUGAAUAUGGGGGGCCCAUCCUCCAAGGCUAAAUACUCCUGACUGACCGAUAGUGAACCAGUACCGUGAGGGAAAGGCGAAAAGAACCCCGGCGAGGGGAGUGAAAAAGAACCUGAAACCGUGUACGUACAAGCAGUGGGAGCACGCUUAGGCGUGUGACUGCGUACCUUUUGUAUAAUGGGUCAGCGACUUAUAUUCUGUAGCAAGGUUAACCGAAUAGGGGAGCCGAAGGGAAACCGAGUCUUAACUGGGCGUUAAGUUGCAGGGUAUAGACCCGAAACCCGGUGAUCUAGCCAUGGGCAGGUUGAAGGUUGGGUAACACUAACUGGAGGACCGAACCGACUAAUGUUGAAAAAUUAGCGGAUGACUUGUGGCUGGGGGUGAAAGGCCAAUCAAACCGGGAGAUAGCUGGUUCUCCCCGAAAGCUAUUUAGGUAGCGCCUCGUGAAUUCAUCUCCGGGGGUAGAGCACUGUUUCGGCAAGGGGGUCAUCCCGACUUACCAACCCGAUGCAAACUGCGAAUACCGGAGAAUGUUAUCACGGGAGACACACGGCGGGUGCUAACGUCCGUCGUGAAGAGGGAAACAACCCAGACCGCCAGCUAAGGUCCCAAAGUCAUGGUUAAGUGGGAAACGAUGUGGGAAGGCCCAGACAGCCAGGAUGUUGGCUUAGAAGCAGCCAUCAUUUAAAGAAAGCGUAAUAGCUCACUGGUCGAGUCGGCCUGCGCGGAAGAUGUAACGGGGCUAAACCAUGCACCGAAGCUGCGGCAGCGACGCUUAUGCGUUGUUGGGUAGGGGAGCGUUCUGUAAGCCUGCGAAGGUGUGCUGUGAGGCAUGCUGGAGGUAUCAGAAGUGCGAAUGCUGACAUAAGUAACGAUAAAGCGGGUGAAAAGCCCGCUCGCCGGAAGACCAAGGGUUCCUGUCCAACGUUAAUCGGGGCAGGGUGAGUCGACCCCUAAGGCGAGGCCGAAAGGCGUAGUCGAUGGGAAACAGGUUAAUAUUCCUGUACUUGGUGUUACUGCGAAGGGGGGACGGAGAAGGCUAUGUUGGCCGGGCGACGGUUGUCCCGGUUUAAGCGUGUAGGCUGGUUUUCCAGGCAAAUCCGGAAAAUCAAGGCUGAGGCGUGAUGACGAGGCACUACGGUGCUGAAGCAACAAAUGCCCUGCUUCCAGGAAAAGCCUCUAAGCAUCAGGUAACAUCAAAUCGUACCCCAAACCGACACAGGUGGUCAGGUAGAGAAUACCAAGGCGCUUGAGAGAACUCGGGUGAAGGAACUAGGCAAAAUGGUGCCGUAACUUCGGGAGAAGGCACGCUGAUAUGUAGGUGAAGUCCCUUGCGGAUGGAGCUGAAAUCAGUCGAAGAUACCAGCUGGCUGCAACUGUUUAUUAAAAACACAGCACUGUGCAAACACGAAAGUGGACGUAUACGGUGUGACGCCUGCCCGGUGCCGGAAGGUUAAUUGAUGGGGUCAGCGCAAGCGAAGCUCUUGAUCGAAGCCCCGGUAAACGGCGGCCGUAACUAUAACGGUCCUAAGGUAGCGAAAUUCCUUGUCGGGUAAGUUCCGACCUGCACGAAUGGCGUAAUGAUGGCCAGGCUGUCUCCACCCGAGACUCAGUGAAAUUGAACUCGCUGUGAAGAUGCAGUGUACCCGCGGCAAGACGGAAAGACCCCGUGAACCUUUACUAUAGCUUGACACUGAACAUUGAGCCUUGAUGUGUAGGAUAGGUGGGAGGCUUUGAAGUG